CAGACGCCGCGGUUUGCCAAUUGUCCUAGCGCUCCGCGUCCCGGAUUGAUUCCACCCGAAUCGCGUUGACGAGCUGUUUAUCCCGCUAAUUUCUCUGCUCCAGGCCUCACGCUCGAUCUCCCUCCCAAUUAAUCUCAUCUUCUCCUCCGGAGCGCCAGGCUUGCUUGCCCGAUCUGGCACCGUCCGCCGCCGCUGGGCCUCGCCUAGACCACGCGUCGCCGGCGCUGCCGGCUGUCCGCCCAAACGCCUCCCUCUCCUCUCCCGUUUCUCUCCUUCGCCCGUUGCCGUCGUCCGUCCGACCGGCCGCCGCGCCACGCGCGCCGCCGCACCGGUGCGUCGCCUGCCGAAGCAUGCUCUCACGCCGGCGACCUGCGCCGCCCCACUGCCGGCCCUCCUGGACGCCAUCUUCACCACCGUUCCUCCUAUCCGCCGUCGCACCGGUGCAUCGCCCGCCGGAGCAUGCUCUCAAGCCAGUGACCUGCGCCGCCCCACCGCCGGCCCUCCUCGACGCCACCUUCACCGCCGCUCCUCCUAUCUGCCGCCGCCCCACGCACGCCGUCACCACACACCUCUAGCCGGCGGCCUCUCCUUACGCGUGUGUCGCGGGUCGACGCCUGCCGCUCCUCUGUGGUCUCGCCUGAUAGCCCUGUCAGAUGCGGGGAGGAGGACGAGGUCGCCGCAGAGAGGUCGCCCCGCCUGCUACCGGAUCCGCUCAUGGACAUCGUGCCGCGCAUCGACGUCGGCACCAAGCAGUGCCUCCCGCUCCGAAUGCGUCAGGCAAACCGCUCUGAAUCGUGCAGUGAUAUUUUGAUCUAAUUGUUCCAGAGGUACGCAGUUGCUUUUCUCUGCUAAUAACAUCUUGGAGGUGGCAUGCCUUUGGUGAAGGAAUUGGAAGCUGGCGUUGGUUUUAUUAGAGGAUCCGUCCAGGUCAGACGUUCUUAUCACUAAAUAUGGUGAACGGGGGUCUGAAAUGGGAACUGUCAAUUACAGGCAUGCGUAUUGUUUGACAUUCUUCAGAAGUAGUGCUAGGCAUGCGUAUUGUUUGACAUUCUUCAAAAGUGCCAUUUCCUGUCAAGUUGAAUGAGAUGCUAUUGACAUCUACCAUCUGAAAAAAAGGAGAUUGGUUUGUGUUGUGCAAUUGGGUUGACUAGGCUUUUAUUAAUUUUACAUUCAGGAAGAUAUGCUCCUCCGCGUGAGCCACACCAAUCUCAAAGGCCUCUUCCACUGUCGUCAAAGGUACUUCAUCAUGCUUGCUACUAUAAGGAAGGAAGUGGAACCACGGUUCAUAAAUAAUAAGAUUUUUCUGUCUGUUUUUUAUUCACACUGUACUGCAACGGUUAUCUACUUGCAAUCAACCACUACAUCUAAUGCUUCCUAGAUCUGGAACGUCAAGGUGUGGUUUCCUUGUUUUUCACUAUUCCAUUUGACGCUUCAUUUUCAAAAUACAUGAAAAUUCCUUGGUGAAAUGUCUACUUUAUCUACAACAAUUAUCGCUACUGUCUUAUUGAAGAACUGAUUCCAACGACUAGAUUGUGACAUGAUGAAAUGCCCCCUCUAUCUUCAAGGAUUGCUAGGAAUAUUUUUGGUAUUUUGGUAAUGCUAUUGGAGUGAGUUUGCAACGCCUAUUUGAUAAUAAUCAUUGCGUGAUUUUUUCAGUCAGAGAGAGAUUUGUGCCAAAAACAAAUGCACAAAUACCAAAUUUUCGAACCCUCUUGAAAUUAAUGUAUUUGGUUAAAUGACACCGUUGUAUGGCAUUAUUGUACAAAGACGUGAUGCUGGAUCAUGCGAACAAACUUAGUGGUGUAUAUACUUGCAUAGGCAAUUUGUGAAGCUUACAUAUUUGAUAUUUGAGAUGAUGUUUUUGAUGGUAUAUCAUUUGUUAUGUUGAUGCAAAUAACCUUGACAUAUGCCUAUUUUAUUGACUGUUUUUUUUCAGAAUUUUUUGUCGACCUAUUAAAUUUCCCAAUCUUUUUGCAGUGAUGUGCAUCUAUUAAAUUUUCUCA